UCCCUGGUGGUCUAGUGGGUAGGACUCUGCCCUUUCACCAUGGCAGCCCAGGUUCAAUCCCUGGUCUGGGAA
rnacentral:tRNA from 1 species